UACGUAGGGUGCAAGCGUUGCCCGGAUUUAUUGGGCGUAAAGGGUGCGCAGGUGGUCGGGUAAGUCUGAUGUGAAAUCCCGCAGCUUAACUGCGGAAUGGCAUUGGAUACUAUUCGGCUAGAGGGUUGGAGGGGGGACUGGAAUUCUCGGUGUAGCAGUGAAAUGCGUAGAUAUCGAGAGGAACACCAGUGGCGAAGGCGAGUCCCUGGACAACUCCUGACGCUGAGGCACGAAAGCUAGGGGAGCAAACAGG
rnacentral:rRNA from 1 species